rnacentral:rRNA from 1 species
AUUGAACGCUGGCGGUAUGCUUAACACAUGCAAGUCGAACGGUAACAGGCCUUCGGGCGCUGACGAGUGGCGGACGGGUGAGUAACGCGUAGGAAUCUGCCUCAUAGUGGGGGACAACGUGGGGAAACUCACGCUAAUACCGCAUACGCCCUACGGGGGAAAGCGGGGGAUCUUCGGACCUCGCGCUAUGAGAUGAGCCUGCGUUAGAUUAGCUAGUUGGUAGGGUAAAGGCCUACCAAGGCGACGAUCUAUAGCUGGUCUGAGAGGACGAUCAGCCACACUGGGACUGAGACACGGCCCAGACUCCUACGGGAGGCAGCAGUGGGGAAUUUUGGACAAUGGGCGAAAGCCUGAUCCAGCCAUGCCGCGUGAGUGAAGAAGGCCUCGGGUUGUAAGACGUCUUUCGGUGGGGAAGGAAAUAGUCAUAGGACUAAUAACCCUGUGUAGAUGACGGUACCUGGAGAAGAA